GACGAACGCUGGCGGCGUGCCUAAUACAUGCAAGUUGAGCGCUGAAGGUUGGUACUUGUACCAACUGGAUGAGCAGCGAACGGGUGAGUAACGCGUGGGGAAUCUGCCUUUGAGCGGGGGACAACAUUUGGAAACGAAUGCUAAUACCGCAUAAAAACUUUAAACACAAGUUUUAAGUUUGAAAGAUGCAAUUGCAUCACUCAAAGAUGAUCCCGCGUUGUAUUAGCUAGUUGGUGAGGUAAAGGCUCACCAAGGCGAUGAUACAUAGCCGACCUGAGAGGGUGAUCGGCCACAUUGGGACUGAGACACGGCCCAAACUCCUACGGGAGGCAGCAGUAGGGAAUCUUCGGCAAUGGACGAAAGUCUGACCGAGCAACGCCGCGUGAGUGAAGAAGGUUUUCGGAUCGUAAAACUCUGUUGGUAGAGAAGAACGUUGGUGAGAGUGGAAAGCUCAUCAAGUGACGUUAACUACCCAGAAAGGGACGGCUAACUACGUG
rnacentral:rRNA from 1 species